UACGAAGGGAGCUAGCGUUGUUCGGAAUUACUGGGCGUAAAGGGCGCGUAGGCGGCCUUCUAAGUCGAACGUGAAAUCCCCGGGCUCAACCCGGGAACUGCGUCCGAUACUGGAAGGCUUGAAUCCGGGAGAGGGAUGCGGAAUUCCAGGUGUAGCGGUGAAAUGCGUAGAUAUCUGGAGGAACACCGGUGGCGAAGGCGGCAUCCUGGACCGGUAUUGACGCUGAGGCGCGAAAGCCAGGGGAGCAAACGGG
rnacentral:rRNA from 1 species